GAGGGUAUAGCUCAAGUGGUAGAGCACAUGCUUAACAUGCACAAGGUCCUGGGUUCAAUCCCCAGUACCUCCU
rnacentral:tRNA from 1 species